rnacentral:tRNA from 1 species
GGUAGGGUGGCCGAGUGCCUAGGCGGUGGGUUGUAGCCCCACGAACAGAGGUUAGAACCCUCUUCCUACCA